rnacentral:rRNA from 1 species
AACGUAGGACACAAGCGUUAUCCGGAGUUACUGGGCGUAAAGAGCUCGUAGGCGGUUUGUCGCGUCUGCUGUGAAAUCCCGAGGCUCAACCUCGGGCUUGCAGUGGGUACGGGCAGACUAGAGUGCGGUAGGGGAGACUGGAAUUCCUGGUGUAGCGGUGGAAUGCGCAGAUAUCAGGAGGAACACCGGGUGGCGAAGGCGG